rnacentral:rRNA from 1 species
UACGUAGGGGGCAAGCGUUGUCCGGAUUUAUUGGGCGUAAAGCGCACGCAGGCGGUGCAGUAAGUUCAGAGUGACAGGUGGUGGCUUAACUACCACAGGCCUCGGGAAACUGCUGCACUUGAGGGCUUGAGAGGGACGCGGAAUUCCAGGUGGAGCGGUGAAAUGCGUAGAGAUCUGGAAGAACACCAAAGGCGAAGGCAGCGUCCUGGCGAGUCACUGACGCUCAGGUGCGAAAGCUAGGGGAGCGAACGGG